rnacentral:tRNA from 2 species
GCGGGCGUGGCGAAAUUGGCAGACGCACCAGAUUUAGGUUCUGGCGCCGAAAGGCGUGGGGGUUCAAGUCCCUCCGCCCGCA